rnacentral:rRNA from 1 species
GGGGUGCGGACAGUGUCUGGUGGGUAGUUUGACUGGGGCGGUCUCCUCCCAAAGAGUAACGGAGGAGCACGAAGGUUGGCUAAGCAUGGUCGGACAUCAUGCGGUUAGUGCAAAGGCAUAAGCCAGCUUGACUGCGAGAGUGACGGCUCGAGCAGGUACGAAAGUAGGUCUUAGUGAUCCGGUGGUUCUGAAUGGAAGGGCCAUCGCUCAACGGAUAAAAGGUACUCCGGGGAUAACAGGCUGAUACCGCCCAAGAGUUCAUAUCGACGGCGGUGUUUGGCACCUCGAUGUCGGCUCAUCACAUCCUGGGGCUGAAGUAGGUCCCAAGGGUACGGCUGUUCGCCGUUUAAAGUGGUACGCGAGCUGGGUUUAGAACGUCGUGAGACAGUUCGGUCCCUAUCUGCCGUGGGCGUUGGAAGAUUGAAAGGGGCUGCUCCUAGUACGAGAGGACCGGAGUGGACGCACCACUGGUGUUCGGGUUGUCAUGCCAAUGGCAUUGCCCGGUAGCUAAGUGCGGAAGAGAUAACCGCUGAAAGCAUCUAAGCGGGAAACUUGCCUUGAGAUGAGUCUUCCCUGACUCUUUAAGAGUCCUAAAGGAACGUUUAAGACUAAGACGUUGAUAGGUUGGGUGUGUAAGCGUAGCGAUACGUUGAGCUAACCAAUACUAAUGAACCGUGAGGCUUAACCUGACAACACCGAAGGUGUUUUAG